AUGGCCACCUCGCUUCGCGUUCCUAGGAAACUAUGCAGUUUUUUGUUUUUUUACGUGUUAUUUCUUACAUUAGUACCCCAGGUCAUCUUAGGUUUCAUUACAUACAGUCGAGAAGAACUACUGAAUAUAAGAUCAGCGUCAACUCACCAUCAGUACGACCAAGAAUAUGUUUUUCGCGACGCGGAUCCUGUGUUCUGCCUUACAAACAGGACAACGGAGUGGAUCCCAUGCAGCGACCCAAAAAAACGACUCAGAAAAAGAGGGAAACGAGGCGGUCUUCUGGUCAAACUCCGGAGACGGGCACACCGUGCACCACUCCCUAGCAUUCUUCUUGCCAAUGUUCAGUCUCUUGACAACAAGGUUGAUGAAAUCCGAGCAAGGGUAGCAUUCCAGAGGGACAUCAGAGACUGUAACGUUCUUUGCUUCACGGAAACGUGGCUCAAUGGAGAGACGCUAUCCGAGGCGGUGCAGCCAACGGGUUUCUCCAUGCAUCGCGCAGACAGAAACAAACAUCUUUCUGGUAAGAAGAGGGGCGGGGGCGUAUGCCUUAUGACUAACGUGACAUGGUGUGAUGAAAGAAACAUACAGGAACUCAAAUCCUUCUGUUCACCUGAUUUAGAAUUCCUCACAAUCAAAUGUAGACCGCAUUAUCUACCAAGAGAAUUCUCUUCGAUUAUAAUCACAGCCGUAUAUAUCCCCCCCAAAGCAGACACAUCGAUGGCUCUGAAUGAACUUUAUUUGACUCUUUGCAAACUGGAAAACAUUUAUCCGGAGGCUGCAUUCAUUGUAGCUGGGGAUUUUAACAAGGCUAAUCUGAAAACAAGACUCCCUAAAUUUUAUCAGCAUAUCGAUUGCGCAACCAGGGGUGGAAAGACCUUGGAUCAUUGUUACUCUAACUUCCGCGACGCAUAUAAGGCCCUGCCCCGCCCCCCUUUCGGAAAAGCUGACCACGACUCCAUUUUGUUGAUCCCUGCCUACAGACAGAAACUAAAACAAGAGGCUCCCACGCUGAGGUCUGUCCAACGCUGGUCCGACCAAGCUGACUCCACACUCCAAGACUGCUUCCAUCACGUGGACUGGGACAUGUUUCGUAUUGCAUCAGACAACAACAUUGACGAAUACGCUGAUUCGGUGUGCGAGUUCAUUAGAACGUGCGUUGAAGAUGUCGUUCCCAUAGCAACGAUUAAAACAUUCCCUAACCAGAAACCGUGGAUUGAUGGCAGCAUUCGCGUGAAACUGAAAGCGCGAACCACUGCGUUUAAUCAGGGCAAGGUGUCUGGUAACAUGACCGAAUACAAACAGUGCAGCUAUUCCCUCCGCAAGGCUAUCAAACAAGCUAAGCGUCAGUACAGAGACAAAGUAGAAUCUCAAUUCAACGGCUCAGACACAAGAGGCAUGUGGCAGGGUCUACAGUCAAUCACGGACUACAGGAAGAAAUCCAGCCCAGUCACGGACCAGGAUGUCCUGCUCCCAGGCAGACUAAAUAACUUUUUUGCCCGCUUUGAGGACAAUACAGUUCCACCGACACGGCCUGCAACGAAAACAUGUGGUCUCUCCUUCACUGCAGCCGAGGUGAGUAAGACAUUUAAACGUGUUAACCCUCGCAAGGCUGCAGGCCCAGACGGCAUCCCCAGCCGCGCCCUCAGAGCAUGCGCAGACCAGCUGGACGGUGUGUUUACGGACAUAUUCAAUCAAUCCCUAUACCAGUCUGCUGUUCCCACAUGCUUUCAAGAGGGCCACCAUUGUUCCUGUUCCCAAGAAAGCUAA
rnacentral:lncRNA from 13 species